rnacentral:rRNA from 1 species
UACGGGGGGGGGCAAGCGUUGUUCGGAAUUACUGGGCGUAAAGGGCUCGUAGGCGGCCAACUAAGUCGGACGUGAAAUCCCCAGGCUCAACCUGGGAACUGCGUCUGAUACUGGAUGGCUUGAAUCCGGGAGAGGGAUGCAGAAUUCCAGGUGUAGCGGUGAAAUGCGUAGAUAUCUGGAGGAACACCGGUGGCGAAGGCGGCAUCCUGGACCAAUAUUGACGCUGAGGAGCGAAAGCUAGGGGAGCAAACGGG